UGAGGUCAAUUAUAUAUAAUUUUGUUUGAUAAAGUUGUUGUCAAUUAUAAUACUUUUUUGAUAACGGUAAUGUCAAUUAUCCAGUUCUUAUGUAGAACCAGUUAUAUUAUACAAAUCACAUAGGUCCCUUGAAUAUUUUUACUGAAAUCUAUAAAUUAAAACUUAAAUCCAUUUUGAUUAGUCCCAAUCUCUUCGUAUGUUGUGAUAUUGUUUAGAUUGAUAGUGGAAGACAAUAUGAAAUUCUUCUGGAAACAAUUCAAAAAGGGAGGAAAAAAAACCUCUUCUUCUCUUAGAAUCCCUUCUGUAACAGUCGCUCUCUUAAUUGCCAUACUUAUCUUUCUCUUCCAGUUAAAUUUCCUUCAACGCGUUCCUCUUCUCCUCUUCUUUGUCUUCUCUUUUGGAGUAUAGUAUUUUAUUUUCACUCGCCAGAGAGAAGUUCUGUUCCCAUUGUAUAGUUGUUCCCUUAAUGUUUACUUGGUGUUUCAUCUUUCGGUCAUGCUAUGUUUGAUUGUUCAUACUAUUUUUUACCUUUUAUUUAGGAAAGAAUUGAUUGGUUGUUUUGGGCUUUAUUUUUCACUUUACUCUGCUAAAAUUGAAGGAAAAGAAAAUAUUACCAUGAUAUAUAUGAAACUAAGUGGUAAAUCAAAGGAAGAAGAACAGAUUAACUUCUUCUCAUUCUGCAAAACAGAUAUUGUGGUGCCAUUCGCACCCUGCAAUUCUUGUUUGUAUGUGUCAUUAUAUCCCUUUCCUUUGUAUUUUUUUGCAAUUUGUUUCCUGGCCUUCUCUUAUUAGAUUUAAAUUGUAAUAGAAGAUUUUGGGUUCUCAUAUAGGAGUUUAGCAGAAACAAAGAAAACAGUUACUUCUUCACACAAGAUGUCAGAGACAAGCAUAAGUCCUUGAAGACGGUCUCUGCUCUUCCAGGAAGGGACUGUAUCAGAGAGUGCGAUCCCGGCAACUGAUCGAAAAUUUAGGGGAAGAAGAGUCACACAUUUGUUCUGCAGAAAAAAAAAGAGGGUUCUGAAUUUGGCUGAAUGAAGUUUGGAAUUUAUUAGGCCCUAAUCAUUCAUAAAGAUUUGAGCAAAGAUUAUUGUUCCCUCUUUCGCGAUUCAUAUCCAUGGCUAUCAUUGCUGGAGCCAGCGCAGUCAGCGGUACUACAUAUGGUUGACAGAUGCACAAGCAGAAACGAGGCAAUUCUCCUCUCCUAAACGAGCGCUUUGCAAGAUUCUUACUGGAUAUGCCCUGGCGGUUGGAUAUAGUCGGCAUCUCUUUCUUAGAUUGCCGCAAAAUAUGAUCUGAAAAUUCCCAAGAGCUGUGUAUCGAGAUGCUUAUUAAAAGAGAGUUAUCUAUCGAGGUAUUGGUUCCUGAUGACUUACCCUUAUUUUGGAUAAGUUCCUAACUUCCCUAUGACAGGCUAUCUCUUUGAGUCACAUUUUUUCCCAUGUACUUUGUAUACAUUAUGUUACUGCAGUAGAAGAAUUCUACAUUUUGUAUUGCUACCACAGUAAAUGGUACAACUGCAAAUACCAUUAGUUUCAUCACUAAGUAGGUGAACUGUUCUGCUGCCAAACUUAGAUGGUUUAGGUUGGUGAUGUGUUAUACUUUGUUGAAAUUGGAACCUUUUGGAUCUGAAAUCUCAGAUGGUCACUAUUUAGAUGUAUCUAUGUUUGAUUGAAAAAAAAAUGUAGAAGAGUUAUCUUCCUUUUCAGGGCCAUUCGGCUAUUCAGUACAUGAUACAUUGAAGAUCAUAACCUAGGGAACAACAAAAGAGGCUAGCUGCACGUCAGGCGGAGCUGGGCAAAGCUAGCCAUGAAGGUUUUGUAUAGAAGCUUCCAGUGGAUAAUCAUGAGAAGGAUUAAAAAAAGCUUCUACUCAUUGUAGGUGUCUCUUGGCAACAAGAAAAAUAGAGAUGUGAUUCGCAAGGCAUGGAUGCCUACUGGUGCUGCUCUUACAAAAUUAGAGGAGGAGAAAGGUACUGUAAUACAAAUGAAUCAUUUCAUUUAGAUGAAGCUACAGGUAAUAUAUCAUAUGUUUAGACUUUCAGUUUAAAGUGAAUAAAGGUGCAAAUUUAUCUAAUAUACAUUGAUACUAUAAAAGAUUUUUUUUGUCUCUGCAGUUUUGCCAGAUGUGUUAGGUAAUUUACCCAUUAUAAUAGUUUAUGGUGGAAUCAUGAAGAAAUUUUAAAUAGUAAAGAUGGCUUUUGUGUGCCAAAUUAUUUCGCGAAAUAUUUAUUUUCUUUAUGAUUAUGAAUUGGGAAACUCUUUACUUAGCUCUAAUCUAUGUAUUUAUAUACAGCUGGUCUAUAGCCCAAGUUACAUGGCACUUCCAAAAAAAACCCAGUUAUCUUUUUGUUUCCCCUUUUGUUUUGUUAUUUGCUUGCUCAUUGUUUGGUUCUUUUCCCCUUUCCCUGAUUCUUUAUUUGUUAUUGUAAUAGAGAUUGGCAACAAGAAGUUGAGUUAUAAUAAACAAUUGUAUCCAUUAUGAUCCUCGAAUUCUGGUGACA